GUGGCCUUUGGUUCUCUUUCCCUUCACCCCCACUCCACCCUGCUGGAGGAAAGGACCUCAUAAAUGCCUCGCUGCAUCUGGCGGAUUGGCUUAUGGCAGCGAACUUAUCCUGAAAAGAAGACUUGGCUGUGGGAAUUAGCUCCAGACUUGCAGAUAAAAUACCUCUUCUGCUACAUCUUGUCACGAGUGGAGGCUGAGAGGCAGCUGAGAGGAGGUUGUGCAUGAAUGGUUUGAAGGACAACAGUCUGCUGGAUGAAUAUCUAAGAUCUAUUGCUGCGAGAACUUUGCGCAAGGAUGAAAAUGUUCUGCAUCGGUGCUCACACAGCAGCGCUUAUUGAGCACUUGAAGUAAGGCAGUGCAGUGCAACAAUGGACCUGUAGAAUGUACUUCAUCUCAAGUAGAUCAGAAAGUCACAAGUGGCUGUCUGAUUGGACAGCGCUCAUCCAAGGGCCAUUUACAGGGGAAAUGGAAUUGGUCUCAAGGCAAAAUGCAGA